CCCUUAGAUGUUCUGGGCUGCACGCGCGCUACACUGAAGCGUUCAACGAGUAUUCACCUUGCCCGGGAGGGUUGGGUAAUCUUUUGAAAACGCUUCGUGAUGGGGAUAGAUUAUUGCAAUUAUUAAUCUUCAACGAGGAAUUCCUAGUAAGCGCGAGUCAUAAGCUCGCGUUGAUUACGUCCCUGCCCUUUGUACACACCGCCCGUCGCUACUACCGAUUGAACGGUUUAGUGAGGGCAUCGGACUGGUCUCGGCCCGCCCUUCACCGGUGCGGCGCCGCCGGCCGGGAAGACGCUCGAACUUGAUCGUUUAGAGGAAGUAAAAGUCGUAACA
rnacentral:rRNA from 1 species